rnacentral:rRNA from 1 species
CUCUACAGUCAUACUAUCCUGAAUGCACCCAAUCUCAUCUAAUCUCAGAAGCCAAGCAGGCCUAGUUAAUGCUUGGAUAGGAGGGGACUGGAGAAAUGGUUCAGUAGUUA